ACAAAAGCGCACGUGCUGUGAGCUCGAUGAGUAGGGCGGGACACGUGGUAUCCUGUCUGAAUAUGGGGGGACCAUCCUCCAAGGCUAAAUACUCCUGACUGACCGAUAGUGAACCAGUACCGUGAGGGAAAGGCGAAAAGAACCCCGGCGAGGGGAGUGAAACAGAACCUGAAACCGUGUACGUACAAGCAGUGGGAGCCCCACCACUAAGCCAGUGGUGAACUCCACAUACGCAUCCUUUGCUGAGGAUGCGGUUAACGGAGCGAAAGCGACGUUCAACCGCAAAAGAAGCAGAGGGGGCUUAGUGGUGGGGUGACUGCGUACCUUUUGUAUAAUGGGUCAGCGACUUAUAUUCUGUAGCAA
rnacentral:rRNA from 1 species